rnacentral:rRNA from 1 species
GACAGAGGGUGCAAACGUUGUUCGGAAUUACUGGGCGUAAAGCGUGUGUAGGCGGCCGCGCAAGUCGGAUGUGAAAUCCCCGGGCUCAACCCGGGAAGUGCACCCGAAACUGCGAGGCUUGAGUACCGGAGAGGUUGGUGGAAUUCUCGGUGUAGAGGUGAAAUUCGUAGAUAUCGAGAGGAACACCGGUGGCGAAGGCGGCCAACUGGACGAGUACUGACGCUGAGACACGAAAGCGUGGGGAGCAAACAGG